GUAGAGAAGGAAGUAAGCCCAAGUCACACCAGAGAUCCCUCCAAAGAAGAACCCUCCUGUGAACUUACCCCAUCCCUCAGCCGUUUGAAGCUGAUCAGGCUGCUUCUUCCGCCCGGUCAAAGUCAAACUCGGCGCAAUCGAUGGCUCACCUUCCUUGAAAGAAGAGAUUCCGUAGAUGGUUAAGCACAUGCUAAGGAUGAUGACAAGGCCAGCCGCGGCUAAAGAACCAGCCUGGCCAGCGUAAACUGUGUUCCUUAAUGGACCAGCCUUGACGAAUGGGCCGACUAAGAAGAAACCAUGAGCUAGACCUACUUCGACACCGCGAAGGAGCGGGUUGACCGCAGUACGGUAGCCAGGGAGGUUGGAAAGGUACCACGCGAUCAAAGGACUAGAUGUCACAGGAGUUUCCAAGCUUCCAAUGAAUGGAUCACCAUUGAUUGGUUGAAUCACUUGAAAUGUUGGCUGCCAAUUUCCAUAUUUAUUGUUAGACCACUAUACAUAUAAUCACAAUUGCAUAUGUUUAUAACCAAUAUUUGUCACACUUGUAACUCCUAAGUUCCAUGGAAGAGGUUCUAUAGUCUAAUACCAAAACAUAAACUAGAACAUGGCCAAUCUAUGUAUAUUGUUAUGUCACGUGUAAAGACAGAACAAAGAUACCUUGUCGGAUUUAACAGCACGGACGGUGAAGGGAGAGACUCUUUUGGUCGGAGAAACACCAAAAGGAGCACCGGAG
rnacentral:lncRNA from 1 species